rnacentral:lncRNA from 1 species
GCCAUGGAGUAGUUUGUCCAGCCAUCUCCUCUGCUCUUCGAACUGGUGAAGGUGAUAGUAAUCUUUCAGAAGAAGGAAAAAAAUCCCUAGAUGGGCGUCUGACUCUCCUUCUUCCCCUUGCCUCACUUAAGCCUUCAAGAAGAGGUUGCGUACUUUUCUUGCUCCUAGUAUGUCUAGUCUCCUACUGCAUGCACAAGAAACACAAACCCUAGUAGCACUUUUAUAUAAAAAUAAAAAUAAAACAAAAACAAAAACAAAAGCACAAUAUAUACACUCAAGUCAAAUUCAAUCAAGUUACACUAGUAGAUAAGUUAAACCGCGAGUCCCCGGCAACGACGCCAAAAACGUGUUAAGUCCUUGGCAAGUGUACCAGAUCGUUAUCAAGUAAUAUAUGGGUAAGUCCAAGUAUCGUUUCCCGAAGGAUUCUUAGGCCUUAACUUUCGUGUAACCUAAUUGUGUAAGAUUUGAGAAGAAAUUGAUUUUAAGUUUUUAAAUGCAAAAACAAAAGUAAACAUGAAAAUGCAGUGAAUCAAUGGUUGAGGAAAAACUAUGGAUGAAUGGUGUUGUUGGGGUUUACAAUUUCAUCUUAUCCACCCUCAUAUAUCUACUUUUCUUAUUUAAUUCGCUUAUUUAUCAUAUUGCCAUGCAAAAUUUCUUUGUCUACCCUUAACCCAAUCCCUUGGCGAAAAGAGCCUAUUACUAAUUAUCGGCUUGCUAUCCCUAGCCUCCCCUAGUAACUAAUAAUGCAUAAUAAACGGAAGAAAAAUACAAUUGAUCGUCCUACCCCUAUCCCUAGGCGGUAUUAGCAUAAUCAAG